rnacentral:sRNA from 1 species
CAUGGGUACAUGAAAGACUCAAAGUGGAAAAGGAAAACGGAAGUGCAAAGAUAAAGUUAGAGUAUUGUGGGGGUGUGUCGGAGUAAAUAACGAGCGACCGGCUAGUGAAAAUAGUUAGAGACACCUCCGAACAAAUAGCAACUUAAUAUCUCGUUGUUGCCAGGUUUCCUGAGUUAAAGGUGAUUGGAUCCUAGGACGAGGUGCUCCUCCCUAUCCAUUGCUCGAUAGGUUUAACGUGGCACUAAAUGUUAGCAAUCAUGCCUAGAGUCACUCCACUGACAGUCAAGGUUUAAUCAUGUGUAUAUGAAUACUUGGUGUGAAAUACUAAGAAUCAUUUGUUAAUCUAUAUAUGAUUAUAGUGGUUGAUGAUACCAUUAUGAAUGCAUGCUUGGGUUUUAUGAAUUGUUUUCAAAGGAAC